rnacentral:rRNA from 1 species
GAUGAACGCUGGCGGCGUGCCUAAUACAUGCAAGUCGAGCGAACGGACGAGAAGCUUGCUUCUCUGAUGUUAGCGGCGGACGGGUGAGUAACACGUGGAUAACCUACCUAUAAGACUGGGAUAACUUCGGGAAACCGGAGCUAAUACCGGAUAAUAUUUUGAACCGCAUGGUUCAAAAGUGAAAGACGGUCUUGCUGUCACUUAUAGAUGGAUCUGCGCUGCAUUAGCUAGUUGGUAAGGUAACGGCUUACCAAGGCAACGAUGCAUAGCCGACCUGAGAGGGUGGUCGGCCACACGGGAACGGAGACACGGUCCAGACUCCUACGGGAGGCAGCAGUAGGGAAUCUUCCGCAAUGGGCGAAAGCCUGACGGAGCAACGCCGCGUGAGUGAUGAAGGUCUUCGGAUCGUAGAACUCUGUUAUUAGGGAAGAACAUAUGUGUAAGUAACUGUGCACAUCUUGACGGUACCUAAUCAGAAAGCCACGGUUAACUACGUG